GAUGAACGCUGGCGGCGUGCCUAAUACAUGCAAGUCGAGCGAACAGACGAGGAGCUUGCUCCUCUGACGUUAGCGGCGGACGGGUGAGUAACACGUGGAUAACCUACCUAUAAGACUGGGAUAACUUCGGGAAACCGGAGCUAAUACCGGAUAACAUGUUGAACCGCAUGGUUCAACAGUGAAAGACGGUUUUGCUGUCACUUAUAGAUGGCUCCGCGUCGCAUUAGCUAGUUGGUAAGGUAACGGCUUACCAAGGCAACGAUGCGUAGCCGACCUGAGAGGGUGAUCGGCCACACUGGAACUGAGACACGGUCCAGACUCCUACGGGAGGCAGCAGUAGGGAAUCUUCCGCAAUGGGCGAAAGCCUGACGGAGCAACGCCGCGUGAGUGAAGAAGGUCUUCGGAUCGUAAAACUCUGUUAUUAGGGAAGAACAAAUGUGUAAGUAACUAUGCACGUCUUGACGGUACCUAAUCAGAAAGCCACGGCUAACUACGUG
rnacentral:rRNA from 1 species